rnacentral:rRNA from 1 species
UACAGAGGUCCCAAGCGUUGUUCGGAUUCACUGGGCGUAAAGGGUGCGUAGGCGGUCGGGUAAGUCUGAUGUGAAAUCUCGGAGCUCAACUCCGAAACUGCAUUGGAUACUAUUCGGCUUGAGGUCUGGGGGGGGGACUGGAAUUCUCGGUGUAGCAGUGAAAUGCGUAGAUAUCGAGAGGAACACCAGUGGCGAAGGCGAGUCCCUGGACAGGUCCUGACGCUGAGGCACGAAAGCUAGGGGAGCAAACAGG